AAAUUGAAGAGUUUGAUCAUGGCUCAGAUUGAACGCUGGCGGCAGGCCUAACACAUGCAAGUCGAACGGUAACAGGAAACAGCUUGCUGUUUCGCUGACGAGUGGCGGACGGGUGAGUAAUGUCUGGGAAACUGCCUGAUGGAGGGGGAUAACUACUGGAAACGGUAGCUAAUACCGCAUAACGUCGCAAGACCAAAGAGGGGGACCCUCGGGCCUCUUGCCAUCGGAUGUGCCCAGAUGGGAUUAGCUUGUUGGUGGGGUAACGGCUCACCAAGGCGACGAUCCCUAGCUGGUCUGAGAGGAUGACCAGCCACACUGGAACUGAGACACGGUCCAGACUCCUACGGGAGGCAGCAGUGGGGAAUAUUGCACAAUGGGCGCAAGCCUGAUGCAGCCAUGCCGCGUGUAUGAAGAAGGCCUUCGGGUUGUAAAGUACUUUCAGCGGGGAGGAAGGGAGUAAAGUUAAUAC
rnacentral:rRNA from 1 species